rnacentral:rRNA from 1 species
UGAGGAAUAUUGCACAAUGGGCGAAAGCCUGAUGCAGCAACGCCGCGUGAAGGAAGAAGGUCUUCGGAUCGUAAACUUCUGUCCUUGGGGAAGAAGAACUGACGGUACCCAAGGAGGAAGCCCCGGCUAAGCUACGUGCCAGCAGCCGCGGUAAAUACGUAGGGCGAAGCGUUAUCCGGAAUUAUUGGGCGUAAAGAGUACGUAGGUGGCAACUUAAGCGCAGGGUUUAAGGCAAUGGCUCAACCAUUGUUCGCCCUGCGAACUGGGAUGCUUGAGUGCAGGAGAGGAAAGCGGAAUUCCUAGUGUAGCGGUGAAAUGCGUAGAUAUUAGGAGGAACACCAGUGGCGAAGGCGGCUUUCUGGACUGUAACUGACACUGAGGUACGAAAGCGUGGGGAGCAAACAGGAUUAGAUACCC